UACUGCUCAGUAACACGUGGAUAACCUACCCAAGAGUCUGGGAUAACCUCUGGGAAACUGGGGAUAAUACCGGAUGGGCCAUUCGUGCUGGAAGGCUGUUUGGCUGAAACCUCAGGGGCUUUUGGAUGGGUCUGCGGCUGAUUAGGUUGUUGCCGGUGUAACGUACCGUCAAGCCUGUAAUCAGUACGGGUUGUGGGAGCAAGAGCCCGGAGAUGGAUUCUGAGACACGAAUCCAGGCCCUACGGGGCGCAGCAGGCGCGAAAACUCUACAAUGCAGGCAACUGCGAUAGGGGAACAUCGAGUGGCGGUCAUAUUGAUCGUCUGUCCAUCCGCCUAAAAAGCGGGUGUUAGCAAGGGCCGGGCAAGACCGGUGCCAGCCGCCGCGGUAAUACCGGCGGCUCGAGUGGUGGCCGAUAUUAUUGAGUCUAAAGGGUCCGUAGCCGGCUUUGCAAGUCUCUCGGGAAAUCCAGCGGCUUAACCGUUGGGCUGUCGGGGGGUACUACAUUGCUUGGGACUGGGAGAGGUAGGAGGUACUCAGGGGGUAGGAGUGAAAUCCUGUAAUCCUUUGGGGACCACCGGUGGCGAAGGCGUCCUACCAGAACAGGUCCGACGGUGAGGGACGAAAGCUAGGGGCACGAACCGGAUUAGAUACCCGGGUAGUCCUAGCCGUAAACGAUGCUCGCUAGGUGUCACAACAGUCGUGAACUGUUGUGGUGCCGUAGGGAAGCCGUGAAGCGAGCCACUUGGGAAGUACGACCGCAAGGUUGAAACUUAAAGGAAUUGGCGGGGGAGCACA
rnacentral:rRNA from 1 species